AAUGAUCACAUUAUAACAACCUCCAAAUAAAUGAAAACAUAAUAAUUCUAAGUUUCAACAUAAUUACAAAUAAUCAAAUUUUACAAGACAAAUCAAAAUAAUGUUGAGCCUUCAACAUAAACAUGUAGUAGCUUCUCCAUAACCAUCACCAUUGAUGCGCAUGCUAAGAUUCUUUAUAAACCUAUAACAAGAUAAACAAAAAAUAAAAAAAUAAAAACAUGUUUUAACAAUUUCAAAUAAAUACUUGACAAAAUAAUAUAAAUUAAAAUUAUUUACCUCUACAGCCUCUACAUCUAUUUCAAUCUCUGGUUCCUCAUCAAGAAUUUUGGCAUAGGCCGGAGAGGUAGAUGCCACAGCUAAUUAAAAAAAAAGAAAUAAAAACCAAAAUCAAGUUAGUUAUUAAUUAAAUGAAAUAAAUAAAAAGAUAAAAAUGUAAAUGUAAAUCAUAUACCUCCACAAAGAGUACGUAGAAAUGAUCGUGCAACAUAAAUGAUUGUACAAGGGCUUUCUUUGCCGUAGCUUUCUUUGUCGGUGGGGAUUCAGUGGCGUCCAUUUCCCUUUUCACUUAACAUCUCUUCAAAUGAUCAUGCAAGUGUUUUGUUCCAUCAGUACUCCUUGCUACCAAUGCAUUAUUGCAAUAAAUGCACACAACCUUAUCAAUCCCAUUAUUUUUUUUUCUCAAAAUGCUCCUGCACGAUUGACCUAAACCUUCUUCUACGUCGCAACAUACCAUGUAUAACACUAGCGGCUGAAUCACCUUGAGAGUGAUUGCCAUCAUUAUCCAUUAAGUGCGGUGUGGACAAAGAACCCAACGUAUUGAAUGUUGAACCUACAAUCAAUAAUCUUAUUCUUUAUUGAAUCUAUAGACAAAUAUGUAAAUAGAAAUAUCAUCACAUCCCCAGAAAUAGAAAAAUAGAAAGCACACAUGCAGCUGCAUCAAAAUUAAAAAUUAAAAAAAAAAGUACAGACUUUAAAACAAACUAUAUAUUAGGACAGGUCAAAAUGUUAACAAUUACAUAGAAAUGGACUAUAUUCAAUUAUGACUUUUAAUGUUUUCAAGCCAAAAUUAUAUAUUCACUGCAGUGUCGUAAUCAUUCGUAUUGCAUAUAGUGCAAAGUACGUUAUGUGCUCUGCAAAUGGAUGAAUAACAGCUACGUGCAUGCCACCCAAUUGAAAGUUUGAAACAAUUACCAUAAUUACUAUUUUUUUAUUUAUAAAGGUGUAAGUGGUUAUAUAUUUUUAUGAAUAUUAAUGAAAAAUUAACUUUUAGUUAUCUUGUCAGCCAUGGACAUCACCCAUAAACUCUUAUAAAACAAGGACUUUUUAAUACUAUUCCGAUUAAUAUAACCAGCCAUCUAAUUUUGAUAACCAUGGUUUGCCGUUUAAAUGAAAAAUCCAUUUAAACAAAUCACAAAUUAAAAUUUUAACGCCAAAUUCAGAUUGCCAUUUAACUGAAACGCAGAAUUCUUUAAUCACAUUGUAGUCAACUAGUCAUCACAACUCAGCUUAACUCUGCUCUACCACAUUCACUCCCUCUAAAUUCCAUAUAAACCAGCAGAAUCCACUAAAUUUGACCUAAAAUAUAAGUUCAACAAAUACCAAUACCACGAAAACAUAAAAAUAAUCAAUAAGUAGUCAACAAACACAAUCACAUUGGUAAAAAUCCUUAAAUUUCAAUCAGAAGCUUCUAAGCACAACACCUUCAAAAGUCAAAUUCAUGAAUUUUUAAGCAGAAAAACUAGCAAUUCUAUAAAGCUAAAGUGGAAAAGUAACAAAUAUCCAGAAACAUUUAACCAACAAAAUCAACCAAAAUUUUCUAAAAUUCAAAUAAAACUCACCAAUAGAAGGGCAAUAACAGGCAAUCUAUUACACUAGCCGCAUGAUGUGAAGACUUGAAGAAAUAAACCCCCUUUGUUUUUGGCACAAGUCUGCAAUUACAAGCAAAUUAAAAUUAUUGAUACAACCAAGCAAGGGAAUCAGAUCCGAUACCAUGCCCACUUCAAAAAUCAAUAUUAUCAGCUCAAAAUUCUGCGUAAUAAAGCAAUCGGCCAUUUAUUAAUGAAAUUCUAGCCAAA
rnacentral:lncRNA from 1 species